UGAAGACAGAGGUGACCGGAAUACUGGCUGUUCAUCAACUUCCGUUAAAGGUUCCGCUAUCGCACCUACAACAGGCCAAUGUCGACAACCAUUCAGACGGGUCCAGCCUAGGAACAUCACUGGCCGCCCGAUUUCACUGUUACCGCGGCUUUCAAGACGGCGAACGCACACGGCUGCCAAUAAUAAAGCAGAACUGACUCAAGCGCAGCCAUUUGUUCGAGAAAUACUCCCGCAAAGUCUUCCUGUCGGUCGUUUGUCAGACCAGUGUCGGCAGCAAAUCGCAGACCUCCAGGCCGAAGCAUCUUCGAGCCACCAGGGCUCACACUUGCCCCAGCACAUACAGCCGUGUGUGCCGCUGGCAGAGCAGGAAGACUCGGGGCUGAUGCAAUCCCACCCAUUGCCUACGGAUGCACUUCCAUUGGGAGAGUGCAUUCGUGAGCCCCCGGAAGCUGUGAUGGAUGACAUCCAGGCAAAAAUGUGUGCUCCUCCAAGGUGAAGCAUCGUGCCUCCAACGGACCACGUAGGCAACGACACAAGGCUCUCAAGUGGCAGCUCCUACAGCCCAUGGCGACCUCGUGUGUCACUGUACUUUAAGACGCCAGACUUUGAGCGGUACCGCAGCCCCUUCAGAGGCUGCCCGUUACGGAUGGGUGGCGGCGAGCUCCCCACCUUGCAAUGCGCUGACGCACCUGAACCAAGUGGCAGCGCCGAGAAGUUCCCCCUCCCCAAUAAUGUGACCCUGAGGAGGCAGGCAACAAGGAACGUGUCUCCUCUCACCCUACCGGAGUUCUUACCAAAACACUUGACAGAAAGACUGGAAUCGAAGCCUGAUGAUGGCAAAGAUAAUGAAUCGGGAGAAUCUGAUUGCGACGAGAACGCAGGUGGCCCAGCACUCUGCAGUGCCCGUGCAGCAACAGUUUCGCAUUUCCCGAGCCCAGACUUGGCAGCUUACCGACGUGUCAUCAGGGAGGAGAUGGCCAAGUGUGACGGUGCACACCUAGCAUCGCCAGCCUCGUCAACAAACUCUCGCGCAA